GACGAACGCUGGCGGCGUGCUUAACACAUGCAAGUCGAACGAAGCUUGAUUACGGAUUCUUCGGAUGAAGUAUGAUAUGACUGAGUGGCGGACGGGUGAGUAACGCGUGAGUAACCUGCCCUUCAGAGGGGGAUAGCGUUUGGAAACGAACGGUAAUACCGCAUAAUGUAUUUUGACCGCAUGAUCGAAAUACCAAAGAUUUAUCGCUGAAGGAUGGACUCGCGUCUGAUUAGGUAGUUGGUGGGGUAACGGCCUACCAAGCCGACGAUCAGUAGCCGGACUGAGAGGUUGAUCGGCCACAUUGGGACUGAGACACGGCCCAGACUCCUACGGGGGACAGCAGUGGGGAAUAUUGCACAAUGGGCGCAAGCCUGAUGCAGCAACGCCGCGUGAAGGAAGACGGUUUUCGGAUUGUAAACUUCUGUUCUUAGUGAAGAAUAAUGACGGUAGCUAAGGAGCAAGCCACGGCUAACUACGUG
rnacentral:rRNA from 1 species